rnacentral:rRNA from 1 species
ACCGGGCCUUCGGGCCCGGGGAAAGCGGCGAACGGGUGAGUAACACGUGGGUAGUCUGCCCUCGGCAUCGGGAUAGCCCGGGGAAACCCGGAUUAAUACCGAAUAGACUCCGGAGCUUUCGGGCGCCGGAGAAAAGGGUGGCUUCGGCUUCCGGCUGAGGAUGAGCCCGCGGCGGAUUAGCUCGUUGGUGGGGUAAUGGCCUACCAAGCCGACGAUCCAUAGCUGGUUUGAGAGGAUGAUCAGCCACACUGGGACUGAGACACGGCCCAGACUCCUACGGGAGGCAGCAGUGGGGAAUCUUAGACAAUGGGGGAAACCCUGAUCUAGCCAUGCCGCGUGAUCGAUGAAGGCCUUAGGGUUGUAAGGAUCUUUCAGUGGGGAAGAUAAUGACUGUACCCACAGAAGAAGCCCCGGCUAACUCCGUGCCAGCCGCCGCCGUAAGAC